UACGGAGGGGGCUAGCGUUGUUCGGAAUUACUGGGCGUAAAGCGCGCGUAGGCGGAUCUGCAAGUCGGGGGUGAAAUCCCGAGGCUCAACCUCGGAACUGCCUUCGAUACUGCGGGUCUCGAGUCCGGGAGAGGUGAGUGGAAUUCCUAGUGUAGAGGUGAAAUUCGUAGAUAUUCGCAAGAACACCAGUGGCGAAGGCGGCUCACUGGCCCGGAACUGACGCUGAGACGCGAAAGCGUGGGGAGCAAACAGGG
rnacentral:rRNA from 1 species